rnacentral:tRNA from 1 species
AGUUAAUAAGCUAGAAUAGCAUAUAUCUUGAAAAUAUAAUUUAGAAAUUAAUGAUUUUCUAUUAACUU